AGAAUCAACGCUGGCGGCGUGCCUAACACAUGCAAGUCGAACGAGAAAGUGGGAGCAAUCCCAUGAGUAAAGUGGCGCACGGGUGAGUAACACGUGACUAACCUACCCUUGAGUGGGGGAUAACCUAGGGAAACCUGGGCUAAUACCGCAUAAUACCUACGGGUCAAAGGAGCAAUUCGCUUUAGGAGGGGGUCGCGGCAGAUUAGUUAGUUGGCGGGGUAAUGGCCCACCAAGACAGUGAUCUGUAUCCGGCCCUGAGAGGGCGCACGGACACACUGGAACUGAAACACGGUCCAGACUCCUACGGGAGGCAGCAGUGGGGAAUUUUGCGCAAUGGGGGAAACCCUGACGCAGCAACGCCGCGUGGAGGAUGAAGCCCCUUGGGGCGUAAACUCCUUUCGAUCGGGAAGAUAAUGACGGUACCGGAAGAAGAAGCCCGGCUAACUUCGUGCCAGCAGCCGC
rnacentral:rRNA from 1 species